rnacentral:rRNA from 1 species
AUACGUAGGUGGCAAGCGUUAUCCGGAAUUAUUGGGCGUAAAGAGGGAGCAGGCGGCAGCAAGGGUCUGUGGUGAAAGCCUGAAGCUUAACUUCAGUAAGCCAUAGAAACCAGGCAGCUAGAGUGCAGGAGAGGAUCGUGGAAUUCCAUGUGUAGCGGUGAAAUGCGUAGAUAUAUGGAGGAACACCAGUGGCGAAGGCGACGAUCUGGCCUGCAACUGACGCUCAGUCCCGAAAGCGUGGGGAGCAAAGAGGAUUAGAUACCCUAGUAGUCCACGCCGUAAACGAUGAGUACUAAGUGUUGGAUGUCAAAGUUCAGUGCUGCAGUUAACGCAAUAAGUACUCCGCCUGAGUAGUACGUUCGCAAGAAUGAAACUCAAAGGAAUUGACGGGG